GACGAACGCUGGCGGCGUGCUUAACACAUGCAAGUCGAACGGAAAGGCCCUGCUUUUGUGGGGUGCUCGAGUGGCGAACGGGUGAGUAACACGUGAGUAACCUGCCCUUGACUUUGGGAUAACUUCAGGAAACUGGGGCUAAUACCGGAUAGGAGCUCCUGCUGCAUGGUGGGGGUUGGAAAGUUUCGGCGGUUGGGGAUGGACUCGCGGCUUAUCAGCUUGUUGGUGGGGUAGUGGCUUACCAAGGCUUUGACGGGUAGCCGGCCUGAGAGGGUGACCGGGCACAGUGGGAGCGAGGUAGCGGACAGACGCGUGAGGGGGGCAGGAGUGGGGAAUAUAGCAGAUGGGGCGGAAGGCUGGUGGAGCAACGCGGGGGGGGUGGUGAGGGUGGGUGGGAUGGAAGCGGCUGUGGCCGGUGAGGGGGGGUGGGGGGCGGGAGUGGAUAAAGAGGCACCGGCGAAACGCGGGACAACAGGCGGGGUAAUAAGCGGGAGAGCCCACGUCCCGACU
rnacentral:rRNA from 1 species